rnacentral:rRNA from 1 species
UUUGGUGGUCAUAGCGUGAGUGAAACACCCGGUCCCAUCCCGAACCCGGCAGUUAAGCACCACCGCGCCAAUGGUACUGCGUCUUAAGACGUGGGAGAGUAGGUCACCGCCAAUCCAAAUAAUCAAAACUUUCUCCAUAUUACGGUC